rnacentral:lncRNA from 1 species
UGCGGACCCAUGGCCCUACGCAUCCUGGGCCAGGUCUCUUGUGGUGCUUCACGCUCUCGACCUGUGAGUGGUGCCUGCUAGAGCUGCCCAGAUCCCUUUUCCCUACCCCUUCUGACCCUGGACCCAGAGUGGUGGUUGCGAUCUGCUACCGUGACGUCAGCCCUCAUUCGUUCGUUCCACAAACUCCACAGCUCUGGUCCAUUAGAGGAAGGAGGUCCCAGAAUAGCUGGGAAAUUACGAGAACAGCCUCACUGCACGAGUUGGUGAAUGCUGUGAUGGCGAUUGUAUGAUGGACGGUGAUGUUGAAACCAGACUGGGGAAUGACCGCCCCAUCCGGAGAGAGACGGGGUCUUGCUCUGUCAUCCAGGCUGGAUUGCAGUGUCAUUGAUCAUAGCUCAAGCGGUCUUCCUGCCUCAGCCUCCCAAAGUGCUGUGAUUACAGGUGUGAGCCACUGCACCUGGCCUCUUCAUAUCUUACAACGAAAAGCACCAAGGAUUCUCUUUUGUUGAAUUUGAGUUGGCAGAGGAUGUUGCAGCAGCUGUCAACAACAUGUUUGGUCAGAUGAAGACUGGGUGGAGAAGUUUGCUGGGAAGAGGAUAAAGAGGAAGGUGGUUGAGACUUCCCAAAGCAGAAAGCCAGGAGGUAAGAAUGACAGUUCAUGCUUCCAUAGGAGAGGCUGCUGCUUUCCACAUAGGGAAUUUCUGAGGUGAGUGGUGUUGGGUGAAUUUAAAGGAGAAGUUUUGGCUUUCUUAUCUAGGUGAGAAAUAUCUUAUGUGGGCUCAGGUAUUUGUGAUUGCUGCUGAGCAAGGCGGAUAUCUGAGGUGAGAAAGGAUGGUGAGUACUCUGCAUCACCAGCAUCCGCUAUCCUCCUAGUCUUUGGCAGCAGGCUCACUGUCUUCCUGUUCUUGCCCUAAUUCCAAGGGGGCAGAAUCAUGUAGAGGUCCCUUCCCCUCAGUCAGUACACAGGCACAAGGCUCUCCCUGCCCUCUCCACUUGCUCCUGCUUCUCCAUCAGGCCAUCCUGACUGUUGCUUCCCAGGAUAAUUUAAGGGCUCCUCCUCCUCAGUCCACCCUUUGAGCAGUGAUAUUUCCCUGAAUUCCUUCCUUAGCCCUCAGCACCUCUCUCCACAUUAUCCUUAUGCCAUGUCAGCCCCUUCUAUCUCCUAAGGUUAUAACGAUCUUUCAUUGUCCGAAUGAUAUUCUGAUCUCUAUCCCUAGCCCUGACCUUUCACAUAUUUCUGUUUGGGUGUCUUAUAGGCACCAUAAAUAAAGCAUAUCCCAAAUGGGUUUCAUCACCUUUCUGGUCUUUUUUUAUGCCCAAUCUUAGUUCACUUUGCCAUCUUCAACAUAGUCACACCCAAACCAGAUUCCUUGGUGCCAGCUUAGAUCCCUCACUGUAUUUCAUACCUAAUGCAUUACCAUACCCUGCUAAUUUUAUCUUUUAAAUCUUGCGUUUCUCCUCUCCAGUUUUCUUCUGCCACUGUUGUCUUGGCUGAGGCCUUAUCCUCUCUCCUGUGAAUAAUUGGAGUAGCUUCCUAACUGGUCUCCCUGCCCCAGGCCUGUUUUCCUCCUAUCCUUAGCAGCCAGAGGGAGCUUUCUAAAGGGCAGAUCUGACUAUCUCACUCUCCUUAAGCAUUCUAGGGACUCCCUUGAUUUAUAGGAUUGAGUCCAGCCUCCAUCAAAAGGGACAGAAGACCUCUCUAUGUUCUGAUUCCUGCUUAUGUCUCCAUAUUUUAUCUCCAUUUUAUAUUCUAGGAAACAAGAGUUUGUAGAUACCUGUAAAUCUCUGUUUUGAUGUAAGUCAUUCCUCUGCCUGCAGUGUCCUUUUCCAAUUUAUUUUAUGUGGCUAAUGCCUGCUCAUUUCUCAUAGCGCAGCCCAUUUACUGCCUUCUCCAGGAAGCUUUUCUGAAUCCUCCAGUGAGUAAGGCAAGUAUCACUCUGGGCUCCCAUGGCCUCUGGGUUCCUGUGGCACCCUCUGUCCUGGCAUUAUAUUGAAAUGUGAUUAUAUAGAAAUGUGACUGCAUUAUAUUGAAAUUACUUAUUUAACACAUGUCUAAAUAUUGCUUACUCUAUGCUAGGCACUGUUCUAAGUGCUCUACUAAUAUUUAACCCUAAUAACAAUUAUUUGAGAUAAGUACUAUUAUUAUCCCCAGUUCUAGGUGAGGAAGCUGGGGCACAGUGAAGUCAGUACUUUGUUCAGCGUUACACAGUUCAUAAUGGUGGAGCUGAGGUCUGAACUAAGGCUGUAGAGCUCCAGGAUCUGUGUGCCUUUUACACUGUGGGUAUCCCUCCCCCGCUGGCUAGCCAGUUCCUCAAGGGCAGGGGCCAUAUCUAUCUAACUGCCUAUCUAUUUAUUUUUUAUUUUUUGAUUCAGGGUCUUGCUCUGUUGCCCAGGCUGGAGUGCAGUGGUACCAUCACAGCUCACUGCAGCUUUGACCUUCCAGGCUCAAGUGGUCUUCCUGCCCCAGCCUCCCAAGUAGCUGGAACUACAGGCACACCACCAUAACCAGCUACAUUUUUCAUUUUUUAUUUUGUAGAGACAGGGUCGCACUGUGUUGCCCAGAUUGAUCUCAGAACUCCUGGGCUCAAGCAGUCCUCUUGCCUUGGCCUCCCAAAGUGCUGGGAUUACAGUGUGAGACACCCCACCCAACUAUAUCUAUUUAAGAAUCCCAGUACUUGGCCUGAUAGCUCAAUACCUGUAUGUUGAACUAUUAAUCCAAAAAAACAAUAGAGUUGGCCGGACGUGGUGGCUCACGCCUGUAAUCCCAGCAUUUUGUCAGGCCAAGGCGGGCAGAUCACGAGGUCAGGAGUUCGAGACCAGCCUGACCAACGUGGUGAAACCUGUCUCUACUAAAAAUACAAAAGUUAGCCGGGCAUGGUGGCACGUGCCUUUAAUCCCAGCUACUCAGGAGGCUGAGGCAGGAGAAUUGCUUGAACCCAGGAGGCGGAGGUUGCAGUGAGUUGAGAUCGCGCUACUGCACUCCAGUCUGGGCGACAGAGCAAGACUCCCUUUCCAAAAACAAGCAAAUGAAAAAAUAGAGUUUUCUCUAUCACACAAAUGGGAAGGUUUGUAUUGAAUGUUAUAUUUAUCCUCUAUCCAGUCUUGUCUUGGAGCACAAAGCAAAAAGGCCCAGCAUCCUCCACUAUCUUCUGAAAACUUGCCCUCAGGCCUGAGCAAGAGGGCUGCCCGGUUGCUUCCAUGUAGCCAGCCAGCAUAUGUGCAGGGCCAAGUCUAGAGGGAGGAGGGGGUGGCACAUGGAUGGUUUCGUUUAAUUGGAAGACAGUGGGUAGAUUGGAGCUGGCAUUUGAAGAUGUUGAGAGUUGUGGAUCAUGGGCAAGAAAAGCGCUGUUCUGGGACUGCGGGGCAGGAGAAGGAAACUGAUGCUUCUGAGGGUGAGUCUGAUGAGAUAACAUGCCUGUGUGUGGGCCUCAGGUUAGACAGUGCUGAGGUCUCCCGUCACUGGGCAUCCAGCUGGGUGCUACGGCCGUGGCUCCUGCCUUCUGCAGCCCUGUCAGGGCCCAAGGCCUUCCUCAUCAGCACUUGCUCCAGCCUACUCACUGGAGUUGUGUUCUGGGUGGGUGUGUAGAAUACUCGCACUCCUACUUGGGGCAUCAGGGAGCUCUCUAGCAAUUUCUUCUGCACCUAGGGAGAGCCCACUGCUAAAAAAGGCCUAGUCAAAUCCUCAGGUGUACAUGGACAUCAAGAUUGGGAACAAGCCGGCUGGCUGCAUCCAAACCCUCCUGCGUUCCGACGUCGUGCCCAUGACCACAGAGAAUUUUCUCUACAUGUGCACCCAUUUAAAGGACUCGGCUUCAAGGGAAGCAGCUUCCACCGCAUUAUCCCCCAGUUCAUUUGCCAGGGCAGUGAUUUCACAAACCACGGUGGCACCAGGGGUCUGCGCAGGCAUGGCACUAAGUGUCCCAUGGCACAUUUGGCCCUCAUGGAGGCCUCAAAAGGGCAGGACCAGCACCCUCUUCUACGGAGGAAGGAACGGGCACAGCAGAAACAAGGAGAGUCAGCAAUUACCAGCCAGCCAAGGUCCUGGAAGCUGACGUAGAGCUCGUGCCGACGGCAGACCUGCCGGCCGUGGGAGCCGCGGACGUCAUCUGCAGGGACAGAAGGGGCAAGGUCUUUUCUGGGGUUCCUGCUGUGUGCAGCUACUAUGGGGUACCAGGGUGGGGGAUGCCCUGAUGAGCACAUUUGUCAAAUAAAUGAAUGACAGGAAACCAUUUGGUCUCAUA